UGCAUGGUUGUCGUCAGCUCGUGCCGUGAGGUGUCGGGUUAAGUCCCAUAACGAGCGCAACCCCUAUCGUUAGUUGCCAGCAAGUAAAGUUGGGGGACUCUAACGAGACUGCCGGUGUAAACCGUGAGGAAGGCGGGGACGACGUCAAGUCAUCAUGGCCCUUACGAGUAGGGCUACACACGUGCUACAAUGGCCGGUACAAAGGGUUGCCAACUCGCGAGAGUGAGCUAAUCCUGAAAAGCCGGUCUCAGUCCGGAUCGGAGUCUGCAACUCGACUCCGUGAAGUCGGAAUCGCUAGUAAUCGUGAAUCAGAAUGUCACGGUGAAUACGUUCCCGGGCCUU
rnacentral:rRNA from 1 species